GGUUGCUGCUAUUGGGAUUCGAUUUAGCCAUGCAAGUUUGGGGUAGCAAUACCCCGGCGAAAGGCUCAGUAACACGUCGAUAAUCUGCCCUUGGACUCGGAAUAACCUCGGAAAACUGAGGAUAAUGCCGAAUAUAAGAACCGUGCUGGAACGCUGGUUCUUUGAAACGCAAGGUCCAAGGAUGAGUCGGCGGCGGAUUAGGUUGUUGGUGGGGUAAUGGCCCACCAAGCCCAAGAUCCGUAGAGGCUUUGAGAGAAGUAGCCUCGAGAAGGGCACUGAGAUACUGGCCCUAGCCCCACGGGGUGCAGCAGGCACGAAACCUCUACAAUGCACGCAAGUGUGAUAGGGGAAUCCCAAGUGCCGAUGUUUUGCAUCGGCUUUUGCCAAAGGUAAAUACUUUGGCGAAUAAGUGGUGGGAAAGACUGGUGCCAGCCGCCGCGGUAACACCAGCGCCACGAGUGGGAACCGCAUUUAUUGGGCCUAAAGCGUCCGUAGCUCGCCCGGAAAAUCUCUUGUGAAAUCGUAGUGCUCAACACUACGGCGUGCAGGAGACACUACCGGGCUCGAGACCGGGAGGAGUCAGAGGUAUUUUUGGGGAAGCGGUAAAAUGCUGUAAUCCCAAAAGGACCACCUGUGGCGAAGGCGUCUGACUAGAACGGUUCUGACUGUGAGGGACGAAAGCCAGGGGAGCGAUCCGGAUUAGAUACCCGAGUAGUCCUGGCCGUAAACGCUGUGAGCUAGGUGUUGCACAUUCUACAUGAAUGUGCAGUGUCGAAGCGAAGGUGAUAAGCUCACCGCCUGGGAAGUACGGUCGCAAGACUGAAAC
rnacentral:rRNA from 1 species